AACGAACGCUGGCGGCAUGCCUAACACAUGCAAGUCGAACGAGACCUUCGGGUCUAGUGGCGCACGGGUGCGUAACGCGUGGGAACCUGCCCUUAGGUUCGGAAUAACUCCCCGAAAGGGGUGCUAAUACCGGAUAAUGUCUUCGGACCAAAGAUUUAUCGCCUUUGGAUGGGCCUGCGUUGGAUUAGCUAGUUGGUAGGGUAAAAGCCUACCAAGGCGACGAUCCAUAGCUGGUCGGAGAGGAUGAUCAGCCACAGUGGGACUGAGACACGGCCCAGACUCCGACGGGAGGCAGCAGUGGAGAAUAGUGGACGAGGGGAGAAAUCCUGAACCAGCAAUGCCGCGUGAGUGAUGAAGGCCGUAGGGUUGUAAAGCUCUUUUACCCGGGAUGAUAAUGACAGUACCGGGAGAAUAAGCGCCGGCUAACUCCGUG
rnacentral:rRNA from 1 species